rnacentral:rRNA from 1 species
UACGAAGGGGGCUAGCGUUGCUCGGAAUUACUGGGCGUAAAGGGCGCGUAGGCGGACAGUUUAGUCAGAGGUGAAAGCCCAGGGCUCAACCUUGGAACUGCCUUUGAUACUGGCUGUCUUGAGUUCGGGAGAGGUGAGUGGAAUACCGAGUGUAGAGGUGAAAUUCGUAGAUAUUCGGCGGAACACCAGUGGCGAAGGCGACUUACUGGACAACUGUUGACGCUGAGGUGCGAAAGCGUGGGGAGCAAACAGG